rnacentral:tRNA from 1 species
ACGACCGUAGCUCAGUUGGUUAGAGCACCACCUUGACAUGGUGGGGGUCGGUGGUUCAAAUCCACUCGGUCGUA